UGUUAAAGAACAGGGGAUAAGCUUACUGC
rnacentral:piRNA from 1 species